rnacentral:tRNA from 1 species
GGUCCAUUAGCUCAGCAGGUAGAGCAUCUGCCUUUUAAGCAGAGGGUCCGGGGUUCGAACCCCCGAUGGGCCACCA